GGUACACGACGAUUCAUUCGCACGAAUUUGGGGUUAGGUUGGGGUUAGGUUGGGGUUCCUGGGAGAAGUGGACUUCAUUAUUAUCAUAGUAUUAGUAUUAGAACUACCAGUCAAAAUGGCUGGUCUUAGGCUUUUUGUUUUUGCAGAUAGUAAAACCGUGAUUUUAUCCCUUAUUUUCACGUUAUCCGAAUAAAAAUUUGCGCAAAUUCCGAUACGAACUACCCUUUGUAAUUAUCAAGACACUUACCAAAAUUAAGUAACAAAAGAUGAAAAAAAUAUGUAUGUACUUGUCAUAUAUGUAUAUUUCCCCUGUGAUCUUAACUUAUGAACUGGUAUGUAUUUAGAUAUUUGCGUUUCGACGUGUUAAAAAAAUAACUAUUUACUAUAAAAUAACAUCCAGUCGUGUUCAUCUAUGUAUUUAUUUGCCUGUAUUUGGUAACACGGAACUCGCAAAGUUACGACAAGGUAAAAUAAUUUUCUACGUUCAGACGGUGUAAUAUUCGCGUAUUUACGUGCAAAACUUUCACGCUAUCAUAAUUAGAACAUGAACGUGAGAAAUGAAAGAUAAGGCUCUUAUCCGGAAGUAUUCUUGAGUUCAGGUUACGCUUUACCAAUGUUCUUAUUACGUACAAGAGCUUAAAUUGCGUCUUAGAAAAUAAUCAAGACAAAUAUUGACAUAAAAAUUCAACAAGCGAUACAAAAUUAUUUUUACUACAUCAGAAAAAGUUUAAUUCUACCAUUAAACAUGUUCUAAGAAGUUAACGACAGAUUUAAGAUAACAUCAAACACUUUUGUAUAAUUUUUGCAUAGUGUAUGAAGAGUAUUUAAAAAAAGGGAACAAAAAAGAAUAGUUUCUUUCCUAUAUAUUAAUUGUAUUCAUUUAAUAUACGGAAUGACUCAGCCUCUUCCGGCCAAACGUUGUCGGUACAUUUUAUAACGUACGUUCAUAAGUCAAGAUAAUAAAAAGAUGUUAUAUAAAUGUAUGUCAUUGGAAAUGUUGUUAAAUACAUAAAUACGUGUAACAUACAAAAAUAUGUUAAAUACGUAACAAAGAAAGAAAAGAUACACGAAAUGACCGGUACCAUAAGAAAUAAAUAGAAUGGAUAGGUUAGGAAUAUUUAUCUCUGGCAAUAAUCAAAAGAUGUCACGGUAUUAUUUCUACAAUUCUAAGUAGAAUUCCGUUUCUAAAUUCCGUUUUACCAUUCCUAUCGAUGAAAGUUUAACAAGGGAUAAAAAAAUUGAUUCUACGUUCCUUUCUAGACUUUCUAGACCGAUAACUAUAUCGCCGGGAAAAAUUGAGCCACCCUUAUUUCAGAUGUUCUCCUUCUACAAAUACCGAGAACAUACCGGAAUUUUUUCCAAAAUUAAUAUUCACUUUUAUCUAGAUAGACACAUAAUUACGUUGAAUUUAUCUCUUUCAAUUAAUAUCAUUCGAAUCACUGACUUAAUAUAUAGAAUAUUAAGGUUAUAAACCUGUAGUACGUUAAAAACAUUAAGUUAUCCCAAAAGUUUCUUUCGUUUUUAUAAGGAAAUAAUAGACAUUUUUUGUUUUAUAUUUUCUUCUAUUACUACAAAAUGAGUCAUACAUAACUCAGUAAAAUAAUACAAAAGGAAAAAUGUGCGUCAAUUAUUUACUUGUAAAACGAGAAAAACUUUUCCGACAAUCCAAUACACUUAAAGAAGAAGAAACGAAAGAGAGAUGUUUUUUUACUUUAUAUAGCCAUUUUUAAUCAUUUUAUUUCUACGAAAGUAAUGAAGCAGUGCGUCCAUUUUAGAAGCCAAUAACAUCCGGUGAAUAUGUAUCGCGCGCAUUGAACGAAAUGUAGCAGAACACGUGGCCAAUGAGUACGUGUCCCCUCAGGGACAGUUUAUAUCGACUAUUCCAUAACUAGCGAACUUUCUCCUUUCUCCUGGUGUUACUGCCAUGAUAAAUGCGCCGUUUCUGAUGAUAAAAUGUAUACCUCCGGAAAAAUUCGCCUAACACGACAUAAAUUGAGUUUGUCAAUCUGAAGAUGCAAGGAGAACCAAUAACCCUUGAACACUCAACAAGCAAUAUCGACUUCUAAUAAUAUAUCUUGACACAGUUUUUUUAAUGAUACUUAAGGCACGGAGAAAAGUUCGGAGAUGCACUUCAAAUUCUAAAAAGUAACAAUAAAAGAAGUUUAAAGAGUUCUAAAUUCUUUAUCGUACUCUGUAUAACCAUAUUCUUUUGACAAAUUUUUCAUUUAUCUUUUAACGAGACAGAUAAUUAAUGUUUCCGAUAAAAAGUUCGACUAAAAUGUUUCCAAUAAUUCUGAUAACCGAUACUGUAAUAUUAUUUUCUUCCAAAAUUAGAAAAAAAUUUGUAAAAGAAAAAUAGAAAGUACGAUCACGUCUACUGUGUAACGUCAAGAAAUUUAAUGUUUCUGAUGUAGGGUUCCGACCUACAAAGGAACGUGAAAUUUUUUAGGUGUCAUUAACCUUUCAAAUACUUUAUUAAACACGCGUUUCUCGUUCGUCGACGUGGGUAAAAGUUACAAGCGAACGCAAUUAUUCUGUCAUCUAUGACUUCAUAUAUUUAACAUAUAUAGAUAUAUAACUAUGCUUAGAUAUUUUCGCAAACGAAGUCGCCGCCAUCGUUUUAAGCGCGUAGUAGCAAAUGCGAAAAAUAACUCCGCGUAAUUCCACCUGUUUUUAUGUUAUUAUACUAGAAACCGUGUGCUUUGAGAAAAACACGUUUUAUUUUUUAAAUAUGGCUUACGUAAACUCUCGGUGAGUAAGCUGGACCGUUUGCAUCUGUAUAUAAUUUUUUAACUGUUUCAAGCUUCCAAAAACAAAAUAAUUCUUUUUGUAAUACGUACGAAUAGCUGUUCUUUUACAAAUUUUUGGACGAAUGUAAAAUUAUGAUAGAUGUACUUAAUGAUUUCAAAUAUUCGCCGUGUCUUAAGAGGAAUAAAUCGCAAUUUACCUCACAUUUAUAAAUCAUCUUAUGUAUAUUCCAAUAGUUUUUUCCCCCGGAAAUAUUGUAAAUCAAUGCAAAAUGUACAGAUAAUGUUAGUCCCUAAAGACUUAAGGAAGCCAAUAAUUAGGAAAAAAGCGCGUCCACACGAUGACUGGGCAUAAAUGAUAUUGAGAUCUACAAGGAUAAUCAAUGUCAGGAUUAAGAAAUUAUUGCUCACUCUUUUUUUUUUCGUUCUUCUGUUAUUUUUUCUUUGACGUUGAUAUAUGAGAAACGCGAAAGAAAAUGCACCCGCAGAUAGAAAAAUGUCAGCAUAAUAAUUGUAGUUUAUGCAACACGGACAAAACUGGACGCAAUCAAUAUUACCGUACAGUAAAGUGCGAUAUAAUAGAGCGGAGUAGAUAUAUAAGUAGCGAAAUAGGUAUACCAUAAGAGGUGUAAAACCGAAAGUUCGUCCAAAGCCGAAAGGCACGGACUAAGCAAUGAUAAAUAAAUAAAUAAUAUUAGCGUACAGUACAUAUGGCAUACGCGUGGCCUUUACACGUAUAGAAUAAUCAAUUUCGACUUAUAAAUUAGUAUGUAAAUCUAACUCGGACGGAUGCUUACCAAAUAUAAUUGUAAUAAGUUAAAAGUGAAUGAAGAAUACGAAGCGUUGAAAUUUUAUAGCGAAUCGGAUAUAUUUUUAUUAUUAGAUCGGUACAUAUGAAAUGUUGUUUCUUUAAAGUUUGAAUCUGCCAGGCCAUUCAUUACCAAUCACUAAACUGCUAACCCUGUUACGGUUAUACUUCGAUGUUGUUUCCACUAUAGAGACCAAAAACGAUUUUUAAUGUUUCAAAAAAAUGUACAACUAAUAAUACAACUAAUUCUCGAUAUUAAAAGUAUAAUAGACUUCCCUACAAUGUCAAAUCUAUGUGAAAUCAUUCUACGAUCUUAAUUCUCUAUAAAGUAAUCGUUUCAGGCUAAUAAAUUGUUCCACGUUCUCGAAUUAAAUUUAAAGAUUGAAAUAACCGAUGCUUCGGUUGAAACUAAAAUUAUCUGUCCUUUCAAGUCUGUUUGGCAGACAGCAACGUUGUUGUUAUACGACUUGACGUUGCUUCUUACUUCCUAUCUUCUUUGCCAAAGGGAAAGAAUUCUCCUGAUACCAUCAAGACCACCGAUAAAUAAACAAAGUGGAAAAAAAAGACUGUUUAAAUUUGCGAGUGUAAAAAAUUUCAGUAAAUAUUUACGCUAGAGUCGACAUCAUUGAUUAGUAGGAUCUGAAAAGAUGUCAAGGUCAAUGUCCCGCACGAUUUCAUGUACAUAUGUAUGUAUACAAGUGACGUUCAGCUUUGGUUUCAAAGAUCUACGUGAAAGUAUAUUUAAUGUUACCUUCAUUGUACAUUUUUAAGAUCUAGGUCAGAUUGAGAUACAUUAGAUUUUGUUAAGGUACCUUCUAGAGCCAGAGAAAGAGAUUUUUUAAGCAGUAGAAAAGCCAAAGAACGCAGUAAUUUUUCCAAAGAUAUUUAUUCCGUAUUUGCUUCAAGUUUCAUUAUACGGCUUUCUCUAACGUUCCCAAUUUUUGUUCUUUUUCUUCAGUUUUAAGAAUCUUUCCCUGUGCUUUUUUGUAACCUUGGGAAUUACACAUGUGACAGUCACAUGUGACCCAACUGCAAAUGAAUCUCUUUCUAAUUUGCCUUGCCUGGUAAAGACACAGAAAUGUUUCAUAGCAUUGUAGAAAUUAUCCACUCUUCUUGAUUAUUUUCCUGUCAUAUACACAGUUUUUUUUUUUUUUUUUAGUUAUUUAUUUAAUUUGUACUUUAUAAUUUGUCCAGCUGGACGUUCGGUAAAUUUUGUCUAACUUUAUUGUUAAAUAACAUGUGGAUAGCUACCCUCACCGGAAUACUAUUUUCGAGUUUGUCUAUUUUAUUUCUUUAGCGAAGUCAGAGGGGCGUUUUCUUUUUAGUAUUUUCUAUACACAGUGACUAUAAAGAGUAUUUGCACGAUUCCAGUCAAAUUUAUAAGUACUUACACGUUGAACUUAAUCCCAUUACUAAUUAUUAGACCGCGGAUCUUUAUUGAGAUUCCUAUUUCUGAAACUGUAAUUGAAAAACUGCUUCCUCCAACAUUGCUUUAUCUAUCAUGUUUUACAGAAAGUACUAUAAUCUGGAUAUUGAUAUAUUUCUUUUAUACUAUGCUUGUUACAGCGCAACAAUAAGAUUCUAAAGUCAUCAAGUCUUUGGAAAUAGUUCAAACGAUAUGGACAUAGUUCAAACGAUAUGGACAUUUUUUUAAUUAGCGUAUUUUUUUCCUUUUCUUAAAGCUAAUCACUUUUAUCACACAUUUAUCAUUACAUUCACAAACUGUUUAUCGGACACUCGAGCGUCUCACGUGGUCACCUCAAGGACUGUCGGCUACCUUGAUGUGACCGAUACGUAGAAGUUGGAGUUUCUCCUUCUUUGUAACGUGCACUCGCCAAUUACUUUCUCCACCUCGAAUAAAUGCCAAAUCAGGGAAUUCCAGUGUCCACACCUAGUGACUUUCAUAACUGAAAACAUCGUUUCUAAUAAUAUCAAUCCGCAGUAGAGGACUUCCUCGAGUAAAUACGCAUUUCUCUACAAAUCUACGCCCCUGUGGUAUCUUGUUUCUCUUUCCCAACUGUCUAUCGCAUUAUAUCGCACUUUGAGGCAGUAGUAAAAGCGUUGAACUAAUUCUCACUUCUAGCAAAAAAUUCUACAUCUUCUUUAUUGUUUAGCUUUACCAAUUAAGUAUUGUCUAAUAGUAAAUCAAUUUGAAGGGUUCCUCAGCCUCGUAGCCUUUUUAGCAAUAUGCUUUGCACAAACGAUGCAGCGGGAUAUGGACAGGUGAAUUUUCGUAAUUAUAAAAAUACCCAUAGCCCGAUGGCUUCUCUGGAUUUAAUUUACACUGUACUUACACUUGUACCUAUUCUUCUAUUUAUACUUACUUAAAUAUAUUUUUAUUACACAUUCA